CAACGUUCUUGGUGUUUCUGACUGGGUUGUUUCUCUUUAAUAAGUUCUCUCUUCCUCACUCCCGUGUCUGACACGUGAUCCUGAAGUUUAGGGUUACGGCAAACAAAAAGACGUGCAAGAGAGGAAAAGAGAGAGAGGGAGAGAGAGAGAGAGACACCUGACAUAACUUGACGUAUUUGUUCAGGGUUCUUGUGUUAUUUGAAGCGGAGUCAAGAGAGGAAAUGCUCCAUCCAAAAGUGGUUGUCAGAAGCGGGCUCUGAGACCGAGGUGAAGGAGAAAGCCGAGGAGCCGGCCACUCAGCCGGACCAAUCGGAGAAGGCCGCGGACGAGGCCCAGGAAGUAGCCAGCGGC
ensembl:lncRNA